AUGGCCCUGGGGUUGCCCGUGGGUCCUGCCCACGGCCCCCAGCGUGGGGUGCACAGGCAGCAGCAACUUGUGUCUGGGUGUGAGCGUACCCGGCCACGCUGUGCCCACUGCUCAUGGCUGGUGCCAUGGGUGGAGGGAGCCCAGCCGGGGGCCGAGCAGGUCCUCCCCAGUGCCCGGAGGUGCCAAGCAGGCUGGGACCAGCAUGGGCUGGUGGAGAUCACAGCCCCCGUGGGCCGUGCCCAGGUCCUGGGCCCCUGCACUCUGCCCGACUGUGCUGCCAGGAGGGCACAGCCCUGGGCAGGGGCUGCUGGAGGCCCCCCCCAGCUCCUCUCUUCUCCCUCCGAAGGGUCUCCAGGGGGAACGCGGCCCUGCCGGGCUCGCUGGAGCCAAAGGGGAGCCGGGACCCCCCGGGCAGCCUGGCUACCCCGGUGCGACGGGCCCCCCCGGCCUUCCCGGCAUCAAAGGUGAGCGAGGCUACGUGGGUCCCCCUGGAGAGAAAGGGGAACUGGUGAGUCCCUCGGGGCCGUGCUUCAGGGACAGAGGGGCUGGGGCUCUCCGAGGUGCCCCCCCUCUCCGUGUGCACUGGGGCUGAGGU
rnacentral:lncRNA from 1 species